UACAGAGGGGGCAAGCGUUGUUCGGAAUUACUGGGCGUAAAGGGCGCGUAGGCGGCCUUCUAAGUCGAACGUGAAAUCCCCGGGCUCAACCCGGGAACUGCGUCCGAUACUGGAAGGCUUGAAUCCGGGAGAGGGAUGCGGAAUUCCAGGUGUAGCGGUGAAAUGCGCAGAUAUCGGGAGGAACACCAAUGGCGAAGGCAGCUCGCUGGGACGUGACUGACGCUGAGACGCGAAAGCGUGGGGAGCAAACAGG
rnacentral:rRNA from 1 species